AUGAAUAAUCUGAAGAAGGCUAUGCGAAAUCCGAGGGAAGAAGAAUACUACGAAGAAGGGAGUCGAUGCCUAGGCCGAGGCUGGUGCCUAAUUCUAUGCUUUAAGCUUAAGCUAGAGCUGGAGCUAGAGCCUAAUUAUAAGUUUCAUCUAAAUUUGAAAAGAGCACGACUCGAGACUACUCUUUCAAUUCUAAAUGAAAGGCAAGCAGGAAUUGAACCCAAUAAUGGGCCAGCUGCAUAA